UACUUUCCCAACAUAUGUGGCUUUCUGGGGUAAACAGAUUUGUGUCUCUUUAUCCACAUAAAUGAGUGCAUUUUGCUGUACUGUUGUGUUAACUAAACCCACACCAAUAUAUAGAUAAUACCUCAAUAAAAAAGUGUAAAUGAUGUGUCAGUGAUAAACUUAUACAAUGUCUGCAGCAAUGGACAGUCUGUGGGCUACGUUGGACAUGCGUUCACAGAGAAUUUGAAAAUCCUGACGCUGAAGCGAUGAGUCCACUUUAACAGUUUCAAGUUGGGCGGUCAUUGAUGGCACUGACUUCUUAUCAUGGAAACAAAAAAAAACGAGAGAAACCACCGAGACCAACAAUGACUUGGAAGGAGCUACAGAGCCCAGUAUUUGGCAACUGAGUAAAAGUGCAUCAGGCAGCCGUAUCAAGCUCUGUGUAUGACACUGAGGGGCCCUCGCGUCAUCUGAAUAAACAACUGCCUGCAGCAAAUGUGCCGAAAUCAGAAUGGGGCAAAAUCUUUCCUGAGCAGUGAGCCUAGCUGCAACAUUUUGGCAGGUGUGGAGUUACUGGAAUGUUUAUUGCACAUUUUCUGAGGAUCUUUCCAGCAUGUGUGGAGUUAAUGGAGCGGUACAUCAGGGUAGGGGCCCAUUUCUGGCCAGACUAUACAG